rnacentral:rRNA from 1 species
UCAGACGAUGCGUCAUGCAUAUCAAUAAGCGGAGGAAAAGAAAAUAACAAUGAUUUCCCUAGUAACGGCGACGUGAACAGGAAAGAGCUCAAAGUUGGAACCUGCUUGACUUAGUUAAGCCGGAUUGUAAACUGUAGAAACGUUUUCUAGGCAAGCCGAGUUAAAAAGUCCUUUGGAACAGGGCAUCAUAGAGGGUGAGAAUCCCGUCUUUGACUCGAGUAUUUUGUCUUUUUAUGAUACGUUUUCCAAGAGUCAGGUUGUUUGGGAAUGCAGCCUAAAUUGGGUGGUAAAUCUCACCUAAAGCUAAAUAUUGGCGAGAGACCGAUAGCGAACAAGUACCGUGAGGGAAAGAUGAAAAGAACUUUGAAAAGAGAGUUAAACAGUACGUGAAAUUGUCAAAAGGGAAGCGUUUGACACCAGUGUUGUUUUCUCGAAAAUCAAUUAAAAAGAGUUAGAUUUUGUUGUGUAUUGACCUUAACAGCUUGCAUUUCAAUUUUCUUGCUUUUUUUAAUGCACUUUUCGUUUAACAAGUCAACAUCAGUUUCUUUUGUUGUAAAAGGGUCAUUGGAAGGUGGCUUUCUUUUCGGAGAAAGUGUUUAUAGCCUUUGACUCCUGCAAUCGGAGAGACUGAGGUCUGCAGCGUAGAUCCUUCGGGGUUAGAUACAUUUGUGCUAAGUUAUAGCUUCUUAUAGACAACUUGUUGACUAUGAUUAGUCUUGUAGCUUACUCGCUUAUGCUAUUUUACCUACGCUUAGGAUGUUGAGUCGUAGAGCACGCAG